CGUUACUGAAAUUCCUCAGAGGGCGGCCAUUUUGUCUGCAGCUGCGACGGGUUAGAUAGUUCGAUUCAUCGGACGAUAGGGGAAUUCCUUGCGUCGACCAUCCGCUGCGAGGGUAAUAAUGGUUCUCGCAAAGUAAUGACAAGUCAUCCAACGGCAAUGGAAAAUUUGAACAACGCGACUAGAUGCUAUAACCGUGCGGAGCCAAAGAUCGAAAGUCGGGACGACGCGACAGUUCAAAGACCCUGGUUAAUUCGAGGAAACUUUUCAAAUACCUCAGUAUAAUGUACUAUUGUGUACAUAACUGACAGGAAAACAAUGGAGAGGAGUGAAAAAUGAAUAAGAGGAAAAGAAAAAAAAAAAAUAUUCGCAAAAGCCAUUGCUAUAAUUCCGCGAACGGAAGAAGCGGUGGCUAUAUACACAUUUAUAUAACCUAAUUUGCUGAAAUCAAUUAUUAAAUUAUGAGAACAUCUCCCUGACACGUGUAAAUGUUGUUUAUGCGUGAAAUACAAUGCGCGUACAUUAUAAACUAUAUACCUAUAUAUGAAAAUAAGGAAACGGAGAUGACGCAACGUAUAAAAAAGUUUAAUUAACGUUGUGAAAAAAAAAAAGAAAAGUGAAUGUUCAGAUACUGGGUACAGUCGACAAUUGCAUCGAGCGAAAGAUUUUCCAAACCGAAGUUAUUACAAGGUUAUUAUUAACGCAUUGUACUAUAAAGGUAUACUAUGAGCACGGACGUGACAAUUACACGUAUACACUCAGGAAAUAAAGUAACAUAUAUAUAUAUAUAUAUACCAUAAAAUCGAGACUCUAGACACGCGACGCUUACAGGCCGACGAACGGAGGCGAGGCAAGGGUUGGAUGGUCAAUAAACGUUGCCGCCCACGAGGUAGAAGCUCUAGCAGCAGGUGAGAACUGAUUGGAAAAAAGACCUACUCAUCGUGGUUUUCUAUAUACGUAUGCGUACACGUGGCUGGAUAUACAGCGAAGCUUCGAGCACUCGCUGAAACAAGCACGACAAGACACGAAGAGUGAUAAAUACAUUGGAUGCCUGUGUGUACAGUGACGCUGGUCCCGCGAAAUGAUGCAUAAAUUCAUAAGAUUGAAGUUAGUACGUAACGUUAGACCAACGGAUAAUCGCAACAAACAUCAUUAUUUUGCAACUAGAGAAUAAUUUGG